CCCUAGUAACUGCGAGUGAAGCGGGAAAAGCUCAAAUUUAAAAUCUGAUAGUCUUUGGCUGUCCGAGUUGUAAUCUAGAGAAGUGUUAUCCGCGCUGGACCGUGUACAAGUCUCCUGGAAUGGAGCGUCAUAGAGGGUGAGAAUCCCGUCUUUGACACGGACUGCCAGGGCUUUGUGAUGCGCUCUCAAAGAGUCGAGUUGUUUGGGAAUGCAGCUCAAAAUGGGAGGUAAAUUCCUUCUAAAGCUAAAUAUUGGCGAGAGACCGAUAGCGAACAAGUACCGUGAGGGAAAGAUGAAAAGAACUUUGGAAAGAGAGUUAAACAGUACGUGAAAUUGCUGAAAGGGAAACGCUUGAAGUCAGUCGCGUUGGUCAGGAAUCAACCUUGCUUUUGCUGGGUGUACUUUCUGGUUGACGGGUCAGCAUCAAUUUUGACCGUUGGAUAAAGUCUGAGGGAAGGUGGCAUCUUCGGAUGUGUUAUAGCCCUUGGUCGCAUACAACGGUUGGGAUUGAGGAACUCAGCACGCCGCAAGGCCGGGUAUUUAUACUACGUUCGUGCUUAGGAUGCUGGCAUAAUGGCUUUAAUCGACCCGUCUUGAAACACGGACCAAGGAGUCUAACAUGCCUGCGAGUGUUUGGGUGGAAAACCCGAGCGCGCAAUGAAAGUGAAAGUUGAGAUCCCUGUCGYGGGGAGCAUCGACGCCCGGACUUGACCUUUUGUGACGGAUCCGCGGUAGAGCAUGUAUGUUGGGACCC
rnacentral:rRNA from 1 species